rnacentral:rRNA from 1 species
AGCAGUAGCCGCGGUAAUACGUAGGUGGCAAGCGUUGUCCGGAAUUAUUGGGCGUAAAGCGCGCGCAGGCGGCCUAUCCAGUCUGUCUUAAGAGUUCGGGGCUCAACCCCGUGAUGGGAUGGAAACUAGUAGGCUAGGGUAUCGGAGAGGAAAGCGGAAUUCCUAGCGUAGCGGUGAAAUGCGUAGAUAUUAGGAAGAACACCAGUGGCGAAGGCGGCUUUCUGGACGAAAACUGACGCUGAGGCGCGAAAGCCAGGGGAGCGAACGGGAUUAGAUACCCGUGUAGUCCCUGUCUCUUAUACA